CACGUAGGGCGCGAGCGUUGUCCGGAAUUAUUGGGCGUAAAGAGCUCGUAGGCGGCCUGUUGCGUCCGCUGUGAAAGCCCGGGGCUUAACCCCGGGUCGGCAGUGGAUACGGGCAGGCUAGAGGUAGGUAGGGGAGAAUGGAAUUCCUGGUGUAGCGGUGAAAUGCGCAGAUAUCAGGAGGAACACCGAUGGCGAAGGCAGGUCUCUGGGCAUUAACUGACGCUGAGGAACGAAAGCAUGGGGAGCGAACAGU
rnacentral:rRNA from 1 species